UAUGUACUCCCUUCAUUUAGAAAUACUUGUUACUAAAAUAAAUAAAAAAAGAUGUAUCUAGAUGUAUUUUAGUUCUAGAUACAUUCAUUUUUGUUCAUUUUAAUGACAAGUAUUUUCGAACGGAAUAAGUACUAU
rfam:Triticum aestivum genome assembly, contig: Triticum_aestivum_CS42_TGACv1_scaffold_131158_2BL